UGCGGUGUCGUUCAACUGGCAGGAUGCUGGACUCUGAAUCCAGAGAUUUUGGUUCGACUCCAAAUGCCGCAG
rnacentral:tRNA from 1 species